UUAUGUUUGUAUAAAAAAAACUUGUAUUCUGUUCUGUAAGCAUUACCUAUAACACUAGUCUCACGUCAGAGCCUCAAGACAUCCAGAGCCAUGGCACUCAAGCUAUUCCUGUUCAUUGCGCUUAUAAUCCAGUGUAUAUUCGGGGUGUUCGCUUCACCGCUGGCGCCGGCUCUGGUGGUGGAGAACACCAGCUCGGUGGCCCUCGCCGCGCGGAACAGCGGCCUCAACAUACGAGUGCUCAGACGACCGAUACGAUAUUGAUUGUAUUGUGUAAAUAAGUUUAUAUUGUCUUACUUGGAACAUAGCCUCACUAACGUCGAAAUAGGAUACAGAAUAGAACGGUAACUCUCAUAUACUGGACAACAUGGCUGCAGUUGGACAUAAAAAUUUAAAAUUCAUGAUCCAGCUCACAACCAACUAAAAGUACGAAUGUUCCACGAAAACAUGCUUACAUAAUGUAAGUGUGAAUUUCGUGAAACCAUUUUUUUGGUUCAGUUUUUCUUCAAUAACUAGUACUUUUUAUUCAAGGGCGUCGCCAGCAUACGACCAAGGGGUAAUAAGGGAGGAUAAAAAAUCUGAACGCCUGGUACAGUCGAGAGAGUUGUAAUAAGAACGGUUCUGAAUUCUGAUAUCAAUAUUAUCAAUUGAUCUCUAGGGGGGGCAACCGCCCCCUCUCUCUGCCUCCCCUUGGCGACAUCCUUGCUUUUAUUCGUAGCUCAUAGUAUUGCAAGUUUAUGAACAUUGUAUCAGCCAAUACUGUACAGCCAUUUUAUUUAAAGUGCUCUAAAUAGUUAAAUUUAAUUCCAAGCUUUUUAAAUCAUUUAUGUUAAAAAAAACGAUUUCAAAUGCACCCAAAAAUUUGGUGAUUCAAGUGCAGGCUAUUUUCUCAGUCAAGUCAUUAUAGUAAUUAAGGUUAUUUAUUCCGAAGUAAUUUAUUAUCGCACACUCGACAAAAUUUACUGCUGGCUCAGUGAAUGCGUGACAUAAUGAGAACUCAUGACACGAGUGCAAUCACAGACAUAAUAAAAUCGUGCCAUAAGCAAGAUUAUUAUUCUUGUGUGUUUUUGUAUAUUACAACGACUCCAACUUACAUUUUAUCAUUAAAUUAAUUUAAACUUCA